AUUUUUCCUGCUUUGAAAAUAAACAAGUAAUUUUGCAUUCAAUAAAUUAUACUGAAGUAAUUAUAUGUACAUAAUUUAAUAGUAGUUGAACAUUUUACAUAGAAAGUUAUAGAGUUUGGAUCGAUCCUUAAUAAUUUAGAAUUUAGACAAUCUUUAGAAUAUUUUAUAUAUAAUAAAUAUCGAUAUAAUUUAUUUGGUAAUUUACUCAUUUAUAAGAUAUAUUUAAAAGAUUGAAUACACAGAUUCCUCGGUAGUAUAGUGGUUAGUAUCCCCGCCUGUCACGCGGGAGACCGGGGUUCGAUUCCCCGCCGGGGAGAUGUCUUUUUUGCAUAAUUUUCAAAUAACUUUCUCUUGUUUUUGUUCUUUCCUUUUUUAUAUAAUUAUAACGUAAAAAAUAUACAUUUUAAUAAAUGUCUAUAUUUCGUAAAGUAUACUCAAAACUAUAUUUUACUGUCGCUACUUUGAGACGUUUGAUUAAUAUCCAACUACAAUUAUUUAAUCCAGUUCGUUCGUCGUUAUGAAACACAAUGGCCUUGCUAUGAAAAUGCAAGGAUCGUUGUCACGCCGUAAGAUAAAGUCCUCUAUGUCCUGGCUGUUAUUGUAGUCUUUUGUAUACGACUGUAUACUUGUAUACUUUUACUCUUGCAAAUAUUUGAUCCUUACAAUAAAUAGUAGAGACUUCAGUGAUAUAUUUAAGCAUAUAUGCUUUUAAUAACCUUCACAAUAUAACGAGGUCCAAAAUUAAAGCAUCAAAUAACAGCACUGAUUGGUGCAAUGACAAUCAGGGCCGCAUGCGACACUGUCUUUUUGAAUACCGUCUAUACCAAUGGUAAAGUCCAUGCAAUAUUAAAUUAGGUUUUAAGACUCUAGAUUCUUAAAGUGGUGUUAUCCUUUUAAGUGCUUUUUCGCAAUACAAAAGGGACGACUUUAGGCCUUUAUUCGUAGGGCACAGUCAUAGGAAAAAUAUUACAAUUUCAUUUUCUUCAUUCAAUCAAAAUAUCCCAUUUUAAACAAGUCAGUAGGAAUUAUAUUUUGAUAUUCCACUUUUAAAAGCUUUACUAGCAACUUCUUCAAGUAGUAGAUAGAAAGAUUACAACCAAAUCAGUGAAUGAAUACCUUUGAUGUAUCUUUUGAGAGUUCGAUUAGUGAGAAAUUGGUGAGUGAGAUUCGGGUUAUAUUUUACUGUUGAGUUCACAAGGUUUCACGUAAACAACAUAACAACUUAAGCGAUCCUGCUUAAGCUUCAUCUUCUCAGGUUUCUAUCUAUUUGUUCAUUGCAAUGACUCGGAUAUGUGACAUUUGAUCUGUUUUGCAUUUCUAUGAAAUUUGUUGCAAAUAAUACUGCGAAAAUAGGAAAGAUAGUCUUUAUAUGUGCAUAUGAAUAAUAUAACAGCAAUUCAACAUAAAGAGUAAUGUAGUGAACAAUAUAAAUGUGUUAGAAUAAAACGAUUUAUAAUGUUAAAUAUAUAUAAAUAUAUGUGAAUCGGUUCACCAUUAAAAUAGAAACUGCAUUCAUGCAAUCCUCGGUAGUAUAGUGGUCAGUAUCCCCGCCUGUCACGCGGGAGACCGGGGUUCGAUUCCCCGCCGGGGAGAUUUUUUUUUUUAAAUUAAAUUUAUCAUAUUUGUAUAAUAUUUUCAAGAGUCAAGAAGUAACUAGACCAUACCGGCCUGCAAAGUUAUUUAUGUUUUGUUGACAUUUGGUAAGAGUAUACUAUGCUAAAGUAGCCUGUAUAAAAAAAUGUAGAAUACCAAACAAAGGAAGGCGAAAGACUUAGUCUCCUCAACGUGAUCAUGAAACCUUUGCAUUUCAUAUCAGGGCUAUUCUGUUUCGUAGAGACUGACUGAAACUGUUAAUUUUUAUAAAUAGAUAUUUUUUACUGACCUUUUAACUCAGGAAUUAAAGUGUCGUUUUGAAAUAAAAAAGAUGAUAGUCACAAAAAGUAUUGUUAUUUCGUAACUAAUUGGUAAUAUCCGUUUCAUUUGUUCCUUGUGUAACGUCAAUUCGCAUCAGAGACCAGGCCACACACCGCGGACAGGAUGGCACCCAGAUGUCUGCACAUCCUUGGCGGGUACCCUCAAUAGUCUUAAGUAUCCACCAGGGGUCUUGGAAUUUUUAUAAUUAAGGUCCUUCGGACCAAGCGAGUGUUUCUUGUCUUAGAUUCCCUUUUACGUUUAUUGUCUACCACGUGUUAGCCUAGAAAGUUGGUUUUCUUCACAUCUGGUAUGUUUCGUUAGCAAUUUUCUCGCGAAGGCGGCUAAAACCCUCCCUGGCCCACCAAUUGUCUUAUUAUCCAAUCGGAGACGGUGUCUACUGCCCUUACUUCCUUGACCAAAAUUGUCAUCAACAAAUCCGAUAGUCCCGCGUCCUUAGACACACCCACUCCUAGCCUUCCUCAGCUACAGUAUCGUCAGUAAGACUCACUUAUUCUGUAUCCUUAGAAUAGUCAACAUAUCUUUUACCGGUCUCUACUCUUAUAACAGUCGCGUACUUAAUGUAUCAUUGUAACUAAGUCUUACAUAACGUGGUUGGAGUGAAUUGUGAUUUAUGUUAAUUCAGUGUGUAUUACAUUGUGAUUGCUGAAUUCAUAAUAAAGUUUAAUUAAAACCAAAUUAAUAGUUGUGUUACGACUCAGCUAUUUUAUUUCAUCAACCAACCCUUAAGUUUACGUGACACCUGCAGCGGUGAACGUACUGGACUGAAUUAUAGUCAAAGAAGCUGAACGUCGUAAAAUAAUAUCAGGAAGUGUAUUUUUGAUUCUAGAAACGAACAGAUGAUUUCUCCAAAACGUACUGCUGGUUUCCUAUUAAAUAUUGUAAGUAAAACCGAAAAGAAGUUGCAGAACUGUUAACCCACAACGUAGUAUGGAAGAGGACUCAAUUUAUGGCACCCUCGAGUGUCCCCAUCUUCUCUUUCCAAAUCCGUGGGUGACGAAAGCUACGAACAGUUACUUACUUUUUCUUGUACUAUUUUUAUAUACAUGUAAUUCUACUGAUUUUUAAAUAUUUUUAAAAGUUUUCAUUUUACUUUAAAUACAGCAACUAGUAUUACGGGCAUACAAUACUUUCCUUGCGGUUUUGAAAUAAAUGCUCAAAUAUUACUAUUAUUAGACUAUUUACAGGGAAGAUGCCAAAAUUUUUUAAUAAAAUAUUAAUUUUUAUACCAUAAUAUCUACAAACAAAUAAAAUUUCAUAUCGUAACGCGCGUAUAUGUUAUAGUAAAAUCUUAUUAUUCUGUUAAUUGUAGUUUUCAGCUUUUCUACGUAAUAAAGUUUUUAUUAUUUAAAACGUGUUCAUAUUAUUAUAUCUAUUAAAAAAAUAAAAGGUAGGGAGGCGUAGAAAAAGAUUUUUUAUUCGGAGAAGCAUAGUAGCAUAAAGAUUGGAGAGCGUUGAAAUAUGGCAUGAUAAUAGACUCGUAGUAAAAUUUGCUAAUAGCUGAAAAUAGGUUAUAUUACAGCUGUUUUUAGAGAUAUUUUGUCUUUAACUACGCAGCAUCGGUGGUUCAGUGGUAGAAUGCUCGCCUGCCACGCGGGCGGCCCGGGUUCGAUUCCCGGCCGAUGCAAAGUACUCUUUUUGCCUUAUUAAUUGUAAUUUUCUAUUACGUACUGUGUUUUAUUUUUUUAAAACCAUUAUGUGUAUCAUUCUCUGUGUUGCAAUUUUAAAAUAGACAACCCGUGACCUACGAUGUAAUACCUAAGAGGACUUAAUUUAUUACACUAUUAAGGUUGUGUCGCUACCACUUCCUAGAUCCCAUUAGUAUAGAAAACUGAACGAUUGUUUUGUAUAUUUUUUAAGGCUUCACGUUCUCUUACUGUAUAACGACUAUUAAGUAAAAUAACUGAAAUAAUGUCUGUGUUCUUUACUUAAACAAUAGAAUUUGGUACCUGGCAACUCUGCGAUUUCAAGUCACUUGAAUGGCUGCGUAUUUUUAUAUGCAUAUAUAUACAUACAUAUGUAGAUAACAAUACUGAAAACACGCACAUUAAGUAUCAACUAGAAGUCAUUCAAAAGCUAGAGUACGAAAAUGGCAACACACAGAUUUUUCUUUCUUGUUUCUUCGAAACAAGUGCAAUUUUUUCUUUUAAGGUUUCUUAUAAUAAAUUUCUUACUGGCAUUUAACUAAACUUGAUAACAUUGCUUAGAAGGCAACUUUGUUAUUUGUAUUGGGCUAUUAUAUUUAUAGAUAAUAUGUAUACGUAUAUGCAUAAGUAUAUGAUCGUUGUUAUGUCAGUUGUUAAAUCUAAUUACCAGAUUUAGCAGCGUGUGUCUUUUUUAUAUCCUUCGCGAGGGUACGGCCUGAGAAAACUCCUUGAGGGCCUGUUGCAAAAAUAUGAUGUACAAUGCAAAUUUGUACUACAAACUUAUGAUGAAUCACUGUGUCUGUCGCACAUCGGUCCAUUGUAGUAAAUAUAACAAAUAGGUCUAGAGCUUUCGAACGGAUCUUAGAUGCCAAUAUCAACCAAAAGUAUUUAAAAGUGAGUACUGAGAUUAUAUUAAAAUUUAUUAUCUAAAACUAGAUCAUACUAGUUCUAUUUCUACGUAAUAUUUUGAAAUGUUUCCCGUAGCAUCGGUGGUUCAGUGGUAGAAUGCUCGCCUGCCACGCGGGCGGCCCGGGUUCGAUUCCCGGCCGAUGCAACCUUUUUUCUUUUUUCUUUGUAAUUUUAUAGUAUGCUAUAAUUUUAACAGUUUUUUUCAUAUAUCGUAGAAUUUAUUAUAGAUUUAUUAAAUAAACAUUACAAUUGUCACAAUAACAUAGUUGAUAAUUUAAUCCACGGUAAAGGAAUGAGAUAAAGAUUAGUAUUAUCAAAAACUGAUAAUUUAUCGAACAUCUAUCAAAUAUUAAACUAGAAAAUAUUUUGACUAGGGUAAAGAUAUCUUGCUAAUUGAAGUACUUUGAAAGGGAUUGAUACUAAAUGGAGAUUAAAAUCGUUUGAGAAAUCGAAGAAAAUCGUGACGCAUGGCUGAGGUAUUUGUAUAAGGAUUCCCAACUAAAUAUUAAGUAUCCAAUUUUCGUUACACUCUCUUAUACUUUAAAAUAUAUGUAAUUGGAGGAGUGAAAUUGAAAAAGAUUACCGAUUAAGAAUUAUAAUGCUUGAAAUUGCUUUCUAAGGCUUGAAUAGGUGAAAUUGUAUUACUCAAAGAAUGCAUGAAA